rnacentral:rRNA from 1 species
AUUGAACGCUGGCGGCAGGCCUAACACAUGCAAGUCGAACGGUAACAGAAAGCAGCUUGCUGCUUUGCUGACGAGUGGCGGACGGGUGAGUAAUGUCUGGGAAACUGCCUGAUGGAGGGGGAUAACUACUGGAAACGGUAGCUAAUACCGCAUAACGUCGCAAGACCAAAGAGGGGGACCUUCGGGCCUCUUGCCAUCGGAUGUGCCCAGAUGGGAUUAGCUAGUAGGUGGGGUAAAGGCUCACCUAGGCGACGAUCCCUAGCUGGUCCGAGAGGAUGACCAGCCACACUGGAACUGAGACACGGUCCAGACUCCUACGGGAGGCAGCAGUGGGGAAUAUUGCACAAUGGGCGCAAGCCUGAUGCAGCCAUGCCGCGUGUAUGAAGAAGGCCUUCGGGUUGUAAAGUACUUUCAGCGGGGAGGAAGGGAGUAAAGUUAAUACCUUUGCUCAUUGACGUUACCCGCAGAAGAAGCACCGGCUAACUCCGUG